GCGCGGAUGGUUUAGCUCGGUAUAACGACACGUUCACACCGUGUAGGUUCGGGGGUUCAAAUCCCUCUCCGCGCA
rnacentral:tRNA from 1 species